UUUUCUAAUAAGCUUUGUAAAAGUGUGUUACCAAAAUAGGAGCAGAUUUGGAAAUGCAAACUAACAUGCACUUAGAUAUCCAAGUGGGGAGACUUACUUGCACUCUUUCCCUGGAGUCAUUUCAGAUCUGUCCAAGGUGACUCCUAUACCAGCAUAGAGAACAGAAUCUGUACUCAAGAACAAGCCCGGAGACUGACACCAUCCACGAAUGCUUCUGGCUUUGGAUUUAUUGGGACUCCACCUGACACUGUGAUGAACUCUAAUUGAUAAAUCCAGUAUCUGAGCAGACUGGGGACUGAACUGAGGACUAGCUUAAGGAAAUCGAGUAGGUGUGUAGUAGUAAGGUAUCCACUUCUUAACAAUAUCAGAAUCCAAGCACAGGUGUCAUCCAGAAAAGCCUCACAGAAAGGCACAACGACAUUAUGAACUUGACGUGUUUAAGUUGGUGAGGCAUUAGCGGAAAAAAAAAAGCAGUCUAGCUUAGCUUCACUCUUCUUCCACACCAAGGCUGGCUAAGCCCACAGGACAGGAAAGGCCAGGAGGAGGCCCAGCAGAGUGGCUGUCAGUCUUUCACUGGGAGCCCUCCUCCUCAAAAAUGUAUUGCAUUUAGCCAAGGGCUCCCUUCCUUUCUCCUCUUACCAUUGCUCAAGCGCAGAUUUGGGACACCUCUUUCUUCCUUAAUUCCCCUUGUCCACCAUUCACUCAGGCACUCAGACUUGCUCUUUGACUCUGUUUGGAUACAAGCAGAUACAAUAAACCAAUCUGAUUUUCUUCAUACCUGCUGGAAGAUUUUUGGUGCUUCCCCUCAAAAACUCAACAGGACACCCCUUCUCAGAUUCCAUCCUGGCUGAAUUCUGUCCAGAAGCUUAGUCAUUGCAGAAAUUCCUCUAAGGGAUAGCAGUAUGUCUGGGCAGACCUCACAGCCGAGGCCAGUGCUGGACUGAGUUGGGGCUAAACUGAAGCCAUCUCCAAUGAGAAUAUGAGAGCUGGUGCCCUACCACAGAUCCACUCUCCUCCUUCCCUCCUGGUGAGCAAAACAUUGGACCAACAGCCACUGAGAUGCCAACCCAUGAAAAAAGUCCUAGAACACAGCAUUUCCCCCUAGGCAAGCAAGGUGAAGAAAUAUGGUGGUGAGAGAUUAGAAAGAUCAUGUUCUGGAGAUUUGAAAAUCACAUUCCUGCCUUAUCAAGAAAAGUGGCAGAUAAACUUCGUGUCAGCCUUGGCGCACUUGUGGUGCCUAAGCUUUGAUAAAAACCAUGUUCCAGUCAAGAUGUGAGAGAGGGAAAGACCUGCACUUUGUGUCACUAUCAAAACUGAGCCAAAUAAUGAGACAUUUAAAGUACUUAAUGAUUACUCUAAAUUUUUCUUUGUAAUACUUAUAGAAUAUAUUUUUAUUGAGGGAUAGGCUGAGAAACCAUCAUUAGAUAUUGACAAUUGAUGUCAAUUCCAAGGGCUAAGAAGCCUAUGUAGGUUCUAAAAUGGCUGUCAUGGUCCCUUAGACACCUUGCAUCUACAGCAUCCCCUUCAGGAGCAUAGUCAUGUGGAUGUCGCCAUGUGACCCACUGAAAGCUGUCUGGAAAUAUUCCCUACUUCAAGUUUUCCUAGCCAGUCAAUUCUGGAAGGGCUUAGAAGCUGACUCACCUCCUCAGUCUUCUGCUUCUUACGUGUGGGCCCCUGUUUUUAAGGGUCUAUGGCCUGUCAGCUGUACACAUAUACCCAUAAGGUUCUUGUGGGCUGGGUGAGCCUGUCACUGAUAAAAUUCUAUUCCAUGGCAAAUAAAUUGUUCUCCAAGAUACCCUGGGGUUUUCCUUUUGGCCACCUCUUGGGGCUGUGAAAGCGAACCCUGAGAAUGACCAGGUGGGAACUAGACUGCCUGCUUCUGCUUCCAUCCAGGUGGCAGAAGUGCCACUCUUGUCAGGAUCUGCUGGUGUACCAGAAAGGGCAGCAGAGCUGCUCUUCAGAUCAGCUGUCCUAAGAAUGGGAAUGGCUCAUUUUAAAGGUUGAAUUUGAAAUGAAAUGCAUAGAAAAUACUGUUUUCUUUUGCCAUAAAAGUCUGCUUAAGAUUAUUGUCCAUAUUUAUUGACAAAAUGGCCCUCCUUGGACUUCUUUUGUUUUCUUUUUGCCAAAAUGGAUCAGAGAAAAAGUAUUUGGUUUUCAUUCUCUGCUUCCCUUGGAAGAUGCAAACAUCAGACCAAGAACCCCAUUCUGAAAGAUACGAUUAAUUUAAUCUAAGCCUAAAGAUUCAGAAUACUGUCCAGGUUGAAAUUUUGGAUUCUGGAGACAUUACAAAAUAUAAAUACCAGCAUCUUCAUCAAAUAUUUAUCAGGAGCCUGGUUACGGGCAGUGGGUACCUUAGCACUCCUAAACUGUUGUGGCGUCCAGUGAGAAAAGAGGAGUGCUAGCAAAUCAAACAGCCUAGAAACAACCAGGAGCCACGGAGAGAACCAUUAGUUACCAAGCAAAGGCAAAAAGCAGCAACUAGCACCUUUCAGUAGUAUUCAAAUGACCUACUAAUUUUAAGUAGUCAACUAAAGCAGAAUUGCUAUUCAAUAAAUGUAUUAGUAAGACACUCAGAUGUUGAGAGCUUUGCUUAGUGGUGAAGAAUUAAGAUGGUAAUUCUGGUGGCUUGAAUGGUCCUGAUGGUUUGGUUGUAAAACCCAACUGCUGAAUGUCUGCAUAUGAGCCCAACAGGCUCAGAUCCCACAUGCCUUGAGAAGUUUUAGAGACUUCAGUCAUCAGAAAAUGAGUUAAUUUCUGCUGUUGAUGAAGUAUUGGCCCAAGAUAAACUGUAAGCGUGUGGCAAUCACAUUUUGCUGAAAUUGGGUGGAUUAGUUAUUUGUCUAUCAGGCCUUGUGUUCCCGUCUUAAGAAGUCAUGGAGAACAUAAGAUUCACUUACCUAGGAUUUGAAUGGAAGAAGUUCCUAGUAGAUCCAGUUCCUGCUCAGACUGAUGAGGAUUCCAUCCUAUCACAGCUGGUCCUACUUGAUAACAACACUCAUCUUAGGGUAUGCUUCCCAAGAGUAUCAUUUCAGACACUUCUAAGAAGAAAGUCAGCUCAAAAUGUGUAAUGACAAAAGAAUGUCCUUUAUCAGCAUCUUUCCUAGCAAAGCAGGGCCAGCAGAGGAAGCAGAUGCACCUUCCCAGGCAAGAAGAGACAGCAGUGGUAGAAGGUGAUUGCCUGAGAUCAGCAGCAGUCCAGGCAGUGUAAAAUUGGGGUCCACACAAAUUGGCACACAGGCCACUUAGUAGGCUUGAGGUACAUAAGCAAUGCAAGGAUUGCUCAUCUGUGAGGGUCAAAGAGAACGUAAUGUAAGAAGCCAUAAGUCCAUAGCCAUGUGUUUUACUGAAUGAACCUCAAUGCUUUGUAUUAACUUAAUGCCAUUGUACUUUCUGGCUUAUACUUCUGCAAAGUAAAGCACUUUUUCACAGGACUGUAUUGGCAGCCACAUGGUUGCAGCUGUUUUUGAAUUCUGCAGAUGUUUCCAAAGAUAUAAUCAAAGUGUGUUUUUCUAUUCAUUAAGAAACAUAAAUAUUAACUAUCUAUAGAGACAUUUAAGUGUAAUUAAAACAGAUUGUUAUGCUUUAAAAAUGUACUCUAAUAAAUGAUAUAAAAUAUGCUUAUGAUGGAACUAUGGGUUAGAGGAGGAGGACAUACGGUCAUCAAAAUCAAUCAGAAAAGUAAAUUAUAUGGUGUUAGACUCAUUCUA